rnacentral:rRNA from 1 species
CACGAAGCUGGAAUCGCUAGUAAUCGCGGAUCAGAAUGUCGCGGUGAAUACGUUCCCGGGUCUUGUACACACCGCCCGUCACACCAUGGGAGUCGGGAAUGCCCGAAGUCAGUGACCCAACCUAUUGGAGGGAGCUGCCGAAGGCAGGUCUGAUAACUGGGGUGAAGUCGUAACAAGGUACC